rnacentral:rRNA from 1 species
GACGAAGGAUGCAAGCGUUAUCCGGAUUCAUUGGGUUUAAAGGGAGCGUAGGUGGCCUUAUAAGUCAGUGGUGAAAUCUCGCAGCUUAACUGUGAAAUUGCCAUUGAUACUGUAGGGCUUGAGUACAGAUGCCGUUGGCGGAAUAUGACAUGUAGUGGUGAAAUACAUAGAGAUGUCAUAGAACACCGAUUGCGAAGGCAGCCUGACGAAACUGUAACUGACACUGAGGCUCGAAAGUGCGGGGAUCAAACAGG